CCGUUCCACGGCCGACUCCCGCACGCCGCCGACUCCGUGCCGUCGCCCUCGCCUGGCGAUCGCGGGCCGCCUCCUGGACACCGCGCGUCCGCCCCUCCAGCACGCCUUCCUUCCCUCCGGGCUGCUCUGGCCGGCCUCGAGGACCCCGCCUCCCUCCGCGCUCCCUGCGGCUUCAUCCAGCAAGCGGCUGCUCCGGCCGGCGUCGAGGACGCCGCCUCCCUCCGAGCUGCUGCCGGCGUCCCCCCGGCGAUCGACCGCCCCACGUUCCCUGCAAUAUCACCUGGUACCCACUCAUCCAUUCAUUAAUUUGCAUUCUGAACCCUAAAAUCAGUGAUGCCUAAUUUGCUUCUCCAUGAUUGUCAUAUAGUACAGUUAAUAUUUGCUAAUUAUUGUUCAAUUGCAUUUUUGUUGCAAUUCUUUCCUAUCACAUGUAAUUUGCUAUUCCCCCGCACCGCCCAUGGUAAUUGCACCUGUGCAUUACUAGCGUUUUGACCAUGUUUUGACUAGCGUGUUUAAUUAGACAAAAAAAAUACAGUUCACUAUGCCUAACAGAUAGCAUGCAAACUUCAAGUUUUAUUUGUCAUUUGCACAUUUCUGUGAGUAUGCAUCUAUGCGUCCUAGAGAAUAGAGACCCUUAAUCAGUGUUUCAUGUGUAAGUUAAACACUUUGCAUGUCCUCACAUAUAAAUUUAGGAGCAGGUAGAGAUAGAACGAACGCAGCUAAGAAAAGAGCAUUGCCUCAAAUGAAUUGGUCCGUAAAAAAUAAUGGUACUGAUGAAUCCAUCGGUUAACAUGAAUGGACCUGAGAACCAAUUUCAUAUGACAGUGAAUCCAUCAACUUAUGAAAACGUGUGCCACUAUAUAGUGUCCAUGUAGAUUGGUAUGUGAUUUUGUUUUUCACUCUACGCCUGCUAUAAUUUCUUGCUGAGUACUCUGACUUGCUCCAGUCGAAACAUUCAUCUCGCGUAUUCACAAUUGCACAAUUGCAGAAAUACUUGCGGAUACCUUCACAAGUGCACAAUUGCAGAAUUACUAGCGUUAAACCAUUUACAUGUAAAUUGUUUGAUGUCAUAAAAUAGUUUGAAGAAAAGCAGCAAACAACAUAUUCGCUCUAGUAAAUGAGCACUCUGUUUGAAAUUUAGACCUCCAAAUGUAAUGUCAUCUCUGUCCAGAUAGGGCUGGGCAAGCUCAUUUUGCAUGAUAUUACUGUUGUUGGUUUUCAUGUUCAUUGUGCCUUACUCAAGAAUAAAAUAUAUCCCAAUUAACUUGCGCGAGAAGAUAGUUCCCUAUGAUAACAUACCGCAACAAACCGACGGGUACUCUUUUUCUAUUUUAUAUUAAUGUUUUACUACAAUGACUUAUGUUUAUGUUCCAUUGCAUAAUUUCAUGUGGGGCAUAUGUAAUAAAAUAUAUACUGGCAUGGGACAGAGAUCGUAUGGGAUUUCACACCGGUGAGUCACAGAAAUUUUGUCACUUCCAAUUUGCCCCUGCAUGGAGUAAAUGCUCUGUCCUCGCUGCAGCUCCAAUCACGGUGCCAUGCAAAAAAAUGUGUCGCGGCCAGGAGUUGAUCCUGCGACCUUGCACUCCGGGAUGCGCUUCUCUAACUAAUCGAGUUGCUUGCGUAUUGAUAAUAAUACUGCACCCGCGUCACUAAUUAAUAGAUGCCAAUUAUGAUUAAGAAAUAAAUACCAUGGCCUCAUACAUAAGUACUAGCACAGUGGUAAGGUCGCUCUCUAAAAAAGUCAUUCCUUGUGUUCGAAUCUCCCCAGUGUUAACUUUUUCCCCUUUUUUUUACAAUAGUGAUUGCUCAAAUAAUUAAAAUAAUGCGCCAUAUUUUUAUUUCUUUUUAUGCAAUAGUGAUUGUUCAACUAAUAAAAAUAACGCCCUCUAUAUCAUGACUUAAUGCAUUACCCAUUUUUUUCAAGUUUAAAAUAUCCCUACCCUCGUGUUACGUAAACGGUCUAUACGUCCAUUGAUCAGACGAGACGGGAGAGUGUAGGUUGAGUAGCUGUCGUGCUACGAGUACUAGUCUAGCUACUCAGACGAGACAUGAGAGUGAUCAAUUGACUUUGUUAUCGUCUUAAUAGCCUGUUAGUGAGUCUUCAUUGAGUGAUCAUCAAACCGAGUGAUCAUCAAACCGAAGUUUACCCAACGCCAAUCCUUUCGUUUCUCAUAUAUGAAUGUUUUAUGACCAAAAAUAACAAAUUUAUCCCGACAACUGGACCAUGAUUCCCAACAUGAAUAAUAACUUCUUGAAAGCCACGUGUAUUGGAGUGAUCUCAAAUAUAUAGGGGUAUUCAUAAAGAUUCUUAAGGCCACAGAUAGAGUUGCAAGGAUCAAAACCAUAUGUAUGCACAAGGUUUAUAACACUCUAAGUUUCAAAUUUUGAUAUUAAAUAAUAUAUUUACAAAAUUGUUUGAUUUCAAAAUUGUUUGAAUUGAUUUUGGAAUUAUAAUUCAAAGGAAAAAAUGGCAAAACGUAUCUUCUCUCGUGGGCCGUCGGCCCAGCUGGCCCAGCCGCCCUCCCUCUCUUCCCUCCGAUCCAUCUCCAACCCCCGCGCAGUUUCCUCCCUCCAAUCCCGCUGCCGCCACCUCUCUUCCCCCCGAACGAAUCCAUCUCUUCCCUUCCAAUCCCGCCGCCGCGCCAGGGUUCCUGAUGCCCCCUCGACGUCCGCGUCGCACCCCUAUAAAUAUGAGACCUGCGCCGCCCCCUCUCGCUUUCUGCACGCGCAAUCCUCAGCAGGCACCGCGCGCUUCCCAAACCCUAGCCGCCGGGCCGCCCUUGGAGCCGACCUCCAAGCCACCCGCGCCGCCGCCGCCGUCCGCAGUCCACGCCAAGAUUCGAUGCCAAAGAACACCGGGACGACCAGCAAGACCUCGGAAGGAGCGCCUCCGGCCGCUCGUUGUCGUCCACCGUCGCUCCUGGCGUCGUGCUCGCGUCGCCGAACUCCAGCCAUCUUGAGUCGUCCCGGGCCGUCCUGAUGAAGCCAGGAAAAGCACCUGCUGCGAAGAAGAUCGUCGGGGGCGUCAAGGUGUCCUUGCCUGCAAAGAAGGAGCGCCCUUUCCAAUUCAAAGAAGAACGAAGUGGGGAUUCGAGUUCGAGCUCCGAUGAUGACGUGUUAGAAGAACAGUUACCGUAGAGCCGACUCAUUAUUGAACUGAUGAUCGAUGAGCUCAAAGAUCAGAUCGAUGCCAUGGAAAGGGACAUCGAAAACCUCAAAAAGAUGGUGGGGAGAGUGGCUAAGGCGAUCCAGAAGCUCUACAAGCUAGUCGAAGCCAACAUUGCCGAUAUUUAGAAGCAUUACAAGCCAUGCUUAAUUUGAUUUAAUUUCCUUGUGGCUACGUUCAUGAAGUUUCUGAAUAAUGUGCCCAGACUUGUAUGGAUGCUCCUGUUAUCAUCAGAAUCUUUGUAUGGAUGGUGUCUUUUUUUUUACCUUGGGUAACAUAAUUAUGCAAUUAUCAUGACUUCUUCCAUUGAAACACUUUCUGGGAGAUACACCAUGUAUAUGCAGGUUGCCACACUUUUUUAGUUCAAAAUAGUUUCAGUCAAA